GAAACAUGAUCCACACUGUAUCUACCCCGGUCAAGGAUGACGCCUUGUACUGAUCACAAAAUGACAUACCGUGUGCACCUUGGUAAACCGAAAGUAGAUAAAAUUAAAUAACGUUGACCACACGGUAUCUCUCUCUCUCUCUCUCUCUCUCUCUCUCUCUCUCUCUCUCUCUCUCUCUCUCUCUCUCUUUCUCUCUAAAUUGUCUUCUCGAUCUUUUCAAUUCCUCGCUAUCCACGGCACGUGACCUGGAAGUGAUUCUUAACAAAUAUCCCAUAUCACACAUCAAGAGGAUUUAAAGAAAAAACAAAUAU